GUCCACGCUGUAACGAUGAGUGCUAGAUGUCGGGUAUUGACCCUCCGGUAUCGAAGCUAACGCGCUAAGCACUCCGCCUGGGAGUACGGCCGCAAGGUUGAACUCAAGGAAUUGACGGGCCCGCACAAGCGGUGGAGUAUGUGGUUUAAUUCGACGCAACGCGCAGAACCUUACCCAGCCUUGACAUCCCUGGAAUCUGGUGGAAACAUCGGAGUGUCCUCGCAAGAGGAAGCCAGGAGACAGGUGCUGCAUGGCUGUCGU
rnacentral:rRNA from 1 species